UACAGAGGGUGCUAGCGUUGUUCGGAAUCAUUGGGCGUAAAGGGCUCGUAGGCGGUUUGUCGCGUCGGGAGUGAAAACCCAGGGCUUAACCCUGGGCUGGCUUUCGAUACGGGCAGACUAGAGGUAUGCAGGGGAGAACGGAAUUCCUGGUGUAGCGGUGAAAUGCGCAGAUAUCAGGAGGAACACCGGUGGCGAAGGCAGCACUCUGGGACGUGACUGACGCUGAGACGCGAAGCGUGGGAGC
rnacentral:rRNA from 1 species